GUUCUCCUUUUAUUCCUCCUUUGUUGGACUAGUAUUUUCCGAGACUUUGUACUUGAUGUUACUAGUAUACAUGAACAUCGAGUACAAAGUCUCGGAAAAUAUUAGUCCAACAAAGCAGGAAUACAAGGAGAACA